rnacentral:rRNA from 1 species
UACAGAGGUCUCAAGCGUUGUUCGGAUUCAUUGGGCGUAAAGGGUGCGUAGGCGGCGCGGUAAGUCGGGUGUGAAAUUUCGAGGCUUAACUUCGAAACUGCAUUCGAUACUGCCGUGCUAGAGGACUGGAGAGGAGACUGGAAUUUACGGUGUAGCGGUGAAAUGCGUAGAUAUCGUAAGGAAGACCAGUGGCGAAGGCGGGUCUCUGGACAGUUCCUGACGCUGAGGCACGAAAGCGUGGGUAGCAAACAGG